rnacentral:rRNA from 1 species
GACGAACGCUGGCGGCGUGCCUAAUACAUGCAAGUAGAACGCUGAAGAGAGGAGCUUGCUCUUCUUGGAUGAGUUGCGAACGGGUGAGUAACGCGUAGGUAACCUGCCUUGUAGCGGGGGAUAACUAUUGGAAACGAUAGCUAAUACCGCAUAACAAUGGAUGACACAUGUCAUUUAUUUGAAAGGGGCAAUUGCUCCACUACAAGAUGGACCUGCGUUGUAUUAGCUAGUAGGUGAGGUAAUGGCUCACCUAGGCGACGAUACAUAGCCGACCUGAGAGGGUGAUCGGCCACACUGGGACUGAGACACGGCCCAGACUCCUACGGGAGGCAGCAGUAGGGAAUCUUCGGCAAUGGGGGCAAACCUGACCGAGCAACGCCGCGUGAGUGAAGAAGGUUUUCGGAUCGUAAAGCUCUGUUGUAAGUCAAGAACGGGUGUGAGAGUGGAAAGUUCACACUGUGACGGUAGCUUACCAGAAAGGGACGGCUAACUACGUG